rnacentral:misc_RNA from 1 species
AAAAUGUUGAAAUUCAUUUUUGUUAAAAUCAAAUCCCCCCAGGUUAUAAGGUUUCACUACAUAAGAAAGGUUUCUUCUAGCAAUCAUGGAUAUUUACUACUAAAGACUUGCUUUGGUGUUGUAGACCUUUUAUCUGUGUCAGUGUUUAAUAUAAAAUGAUAACUUUAUGGUUUUUAUUUUGAUCUGGUUGAUUUGCCUAUCAGAAUUUCCUGUCAGAUGUUCAAAUUGUCCUUGUACAAGCAAUUCUUGUUAAUCAGCAACUAAUUGG